rnacentral:lncRNA from 1 species
UAGAAGCAGACAAUGAGAUAACAGUAGAUAAAAGUAUGGACUAUGACAAACAGUGAUAAAUGCUAUAGAAGUUACUAGGUGGGAAGGCAGUUAGGGAGAGCAGCGAGCAAUGAAUACACAGAUCAGGUUAUACUGAAAAGGCAGCAUUCUGGUAAGGACCUGGAAGAAGGAAGGGGGACUGUCACUAGGACAGAGGGUGCAGCAGUGAAGGCAAAGGCCACUGUGACUGUGGUGAGUGAGAAUAAUCUCAAGGAGAUGUCAGAGGAUGCUGGACAGCAUGUUGGAUAGGCCUGAAGGGCUAGCCACCAUCUCUUCCCAGACUUUCCACAGAUGGCCCUCCUUCUCACACACAUAUUUUCCAACAUCCCGCAGUGUAUACUCAGCUCCUACACUGCUGUUGGCCUCCCUGGCUACUGCCCUUUCAAAGUCCCUUUCUGGUGCCUGCUAUGAGUUCUGGAAAUGUGGUGAGGGGAACUUUUUUGAGUCAGCAUGACUAGUACACCCAGGUCAUGAGGGAAACAUCUCCUGGUGUCCCCAAGGCAGUCCUGGAAGAAAUUAACAUUUGAGUCACAGGCUGAGUAAAGUUGAUCCACUGCCGCUAAGGGUAGGCAUACACCCCUGAACCAACUAAGGGCUUGAAUAUGAUUUAAAAAAAAAUGCAGAACACAGUAAGCACAUUCACUUCCUGAUGCUUUUUCCAGCCCUGCAGCAGAGGUUGUAGGCUUUGUGGCUUUGAGAUCUAGUGUAAGGGUCCAUGAUUCACUGAAGAAUGGUACCUUGGAUUCAAUUAGUAUGCAAAAGCAAAGAGCGUUUUAUUCUGCAUAAGUCCAGCAUGCUGGCGUCUACCAUCAACCAAGAUGGAGGCCCCUAGUGAGCUCGCAGGCCAGAUUUAAAGCACAUUAGGGAAAUUCUGGGAGGGGUAGGCAACCUCUAUCUCAAUCUGUGGGCUCUAUCUCUAGGGACAUUCCACAACCAUUGCUGGGGCGGGGCCUAGAAACUGUUGCUGACCCAUUGUCCUUGCCUCAGGCCUGAUGGCCCGGCAGUUUCUGACUGGCUGCCUGAGGCCUGGGUUUUUUUUUGUUUGUUUGUUUUGUUUUGUUUUGUUUUUGUUUUUGUUUUUUGUUGUUGUUGUUGUUUUGGUUUUUGUUGUUGUUGUUGUUUUUUUUGUUUUCAGUAACUGGCUUACCUGGACUUGCCCAGUUCUUGGAAACAGAGAUUUAGGCCUAGUCUCCUGAACUGCCAAUUUGAAGCCUGUCUCACUAGGAGGCUGAGGGCUUUCCUGGCCCUUCUGCUUGUAGAUAGCUCAUUGUGGAACAUCUCAGCUGAUUCUGCUUCUCUGGUAAACCUCAAUACGGCGGCCAUGUAGAAUCACCUAUUUCUGCUUGCCUUAACUUCUCAUCAAGAUCCACACUGUUGGGCAAAAGCCAGACGUGUAUUCUUUUUCUUUAUGUCACGCACUCUGCAUACACAAGGAGAAUGCUUGUUACAUAGAAACCCCAACUCUACCGGAGAGUUUUGAGAACUGUGUGCUUGUCCUUUUGUCUGAAUCUGAAGAGAACGUGGCGUGGGAUCGUUUAAUCCUGUCCAUUAAUCAAUAUUCUUUCAAGUACAAUGAUUUCAUUUUGGAAAUAUUCAAGCCCAAAUCCAAGGAUUAUAGAAUUUCAGAGUGUGCUACGUUUACCCUGCCUUUUUUAGUCUGUAUUAGGAAAAUAGUGCACCUUUGAAUAUAUGCCUCAAUUUUUAUAUUUGAUUGGAAUACAAAUAGAUUUUUUAAACCUUUCAAAGCAUGAAGAAAUAACAGUCUGAGGUACUUAGGUAUGGAUGUCUCAGUUUAGUGGGUGAACGGGCAACACCUCCAAAAGUGACAUGACGCCAGAGAGUUGGCAUUGUAGAGUGCAUGGUCUUCAUCUCACCCCUUCCCUUAGGCUUCUCCAUUGUCUGCAGGCAGAAGGGACCCAGCAAAUGCGACGGUGACAAUGUUGUCAUCAGCCCAUCUCACAGCGGAAAGCUGCAAAUCACACACAGCAUUUGCUGGUUACAUAGAUCUUGGUGGCAGGUUUGGUCCCGAAAAAAAAAAUGCUUGCACUCAGUGCUCCCCAAUCUGUCCUUAGCCAUCAGGAUUUGAGAAUGUGUAAAUAGUGUCAAUCUUUCUUUUGCACUUUGUCAAUCUGUCUGUCCCACUGACUCUGGGAAGAUAAAUGAGCCCUUGGGUUUCCAUCUGGUGGAGGCAGAUGGUAGGAAGUACCUUAAUACAGGUGACAUUCAGCUAUCAGCAAGAUAAAGGAGCCUGACUCAGAGCAGAUGCCUGGGGAGCUUGGUCGGUCGUGACAGCUGAAGACAUCACCUAGGAGCUGAGGCUAUUUUUGACUGUGGUAGAAAAGUUGCCACAUGCUCCUUCUUCUUGCCUUGUAGUUUAAAGGUAUAUGAAAAUGGCUUGGAGGAAGAGUAAUAAUGUCUGUACGCUGACUCAGCAUUCUGAGAAAAGUACAAGUGAUUUCUAGGUACUAGGGGGAAUACAGUGGAUGGUAGUCCACUGCACCACAGAGACAGGGUUCUGGGAAAUGAUCUAGGGGCUCCUGUCAAGGAGAGGUGCAGACCGGAAAAAGGCAGUCAGAGAAAGUGAAGGCAGCGGGAGACUGUGUCUUCUCUGAGUUCUCUGGGCUUCCACCUCUCCCAGAAGCAGAGGCUGAAAAGAACAGAAGGUUUCAUGUCAAACUAGUGGGUUCAAGUCACACCUCACUCCCAGCUCCGUGGACAGUGCCUUACCAUGUUCAUGUCCUCCCCAUGACCAACCAACACCUUUUGGUCAGCUGAGACCCAGACCUCACACCGAUGUUCUUUUUGUGUGCUCUGCCAGCUACCUGCUUCGCUUUCCCUGCAUCUGUAUAUUCAGGCCACACAUCAGCCAGGCCCCUGGGACUCUGAGACAUUCACCUCUAAGCUUUGCAACAUCCUGUUAAAGAUGGAGGACUAGGAAGGCUUGAGUGGUCCCAGAAAGCCAAAGAUGGGAGAGAAGGACAAUAUUGUAUCUUUGUGCAUCUGACCAUCCAAGUGUGUGUUUCCUGGGGGGUGAGUUAGGGGAGGGGGGAGAAUCUUCUUUAGCUUUGGUAUCACCAGGUAAAGCAAUUUGGCAAAGAGAGCCUGUUCUUUUGGGGAACUGAGCCAGCUCACAUGCCGCUACUUAUACAGGCUGCUUGGUUUUCCCCAGUAUGUCACACCAUCUUCAGGGUGGACAAUCUACAUACGCAGACAGCUGAUAUUACUUCACCCACACUUAGAAAUAGCACCCACUGACUUACUCAGAGACCACAACCAAACAAAAAUGAUCCAGACUGACCCAAAGACAGACAGACUGACUCUGAAAAACUAAUGGUACCUUCCUUAAAUAGAC